rnacentral:rRNA from 1 species
AUUGAACGCUGGCGGCAGGCCUAACACAUGCAAGUCGAGCGGAUGAGUGGAGCUUGCUCCAUGAUUCAGCGGCGGACGGGUGAGUAAUGCCCAGGAAUCUGCCUGGUAGUGGGGGACAACGUUUCGAAAGGAACGCUAAUACCGCAUACGUCCUACGGGAGAAAGUGGGGGAUCUUCGGACCUCACGCUAUCCGAUGAGCCUAGGUCGGAGUAGCUAGUUGGUGAGGUAAAGGCUCACCAAGGCGACGAUCCGUAACUGGUCUGGGAGGAUGAUCAGUCACACUGGAACUGAUACACUGUCCAUACUCCUACGGGAGGCAGCAGUGUGGAAUAUUGGACAAUGGGCGAAAGCCUGAUCCAUCCAUGCCGCGUGUGUGAAGAAUGUCUUCGGAUUGUAAAGCACUUUAAGUUGGGAGGAAGGGCAGUAAGUUAAUACCUUGCUGUUUUGACGUUACCAACAGAAUAAGCACCGGCUAACUUCGUGCCAGCCGCCGCGGUAAAAC